rnacentral:rRNA from 1 species
GACGAACGCUGGCGGCGUGCUUAACACAUGCAAGUCGAACGAGGCCCAUUCUUCGGGGGUGGGUUCUAGUGGCGAACGGGUGAGUAACACGUGGGCAACCUGCCCCUGGCUCUGGGAUAACUCCAAGAAAUUGGGGCUAAUACCGGAUAUGACCGCUGACCGCAUGGUCUGGUGGUGGAAAGUUUUUUCGCUGGGAGUGGCCCGCGGCCUAUCAGCUUGUUGGUGGGGUAGUGGCCUACCAAGGCGACGACGGGUAGCCGGCCUGAGAGGGUGACCGGCCACACUGGGACUGAGACACGGCCCAGACUCCUACGGGAGGCAGCAGUGGGGAAUAUUGCGCAAUGGGCGAAAGCCUGACGCAGCGACGCCGC